rnacentral:rRNA from 1 species
UACGAAGGGGGCUAGCGUUGUUCGGAAUUACUGGGCGUAAAGCGCGCGUAGGCGGCUCUUCAAGUCAGGCGUGAAAGCCCCGGGCUUAACCCGGGAAUAGCGCUUGAUACUGUUGGGCUUGAGUCCGGGAGAGGAUAGUGGAAUUCCCAGUGUAGAGGUGAAAUUCGUAGAUAUUGGGAAGAACACCAGUGGCGAAGGCGGCUAUCUGGACCGGAACUGACGCUGAGGCGCGAAAGCGUGGGGAGCAAACAGG